GACCCACCUGGAAGCGCCGCGGCGCCGCUAUCGAGCUUCCUGCAGCGGUGGCCACCCGAGCAAGUGCCGUGGCGGGGGCGGAGAGCGGCCACGGCGGCGGCGCCUCCCCAAGUGGCCCGUUGCGUCCGACCCCGCGUGAAAGAUAUCAAGUUAUUCUAGUACAACCAUAUAAAUAAAUAAUACCUGAAGUCUCAGUGUAACAUGGACAAUUAACAGUGAUGACAGAUAAAUACAGACGCAUGGGGAUCAAAUACUAGGCGAAACGCUUUUUAAAAGGUAAGAAAUAAUGUAAUCUUAAUUAAGGCCAUGUGGGGUUUAGUUAGAAGUAAUUGAAGUUUCUUUUUCAGUGUAUCAGGCUUUUAAGAAACACUGCAGGAUCCUGUCUAUCUUAAUGCUGAUAGAGCUCAGCUAAAGAAAUUUAGGAGGUUCUAGUAUUCUUCAUGGCUGAAGCUGAGAGAGUCUGAAACCCUGAUGCUUAAGCUCCAUUCUAGAUCAUAGCUCCAACUCCUUCAGGAUAUAAGGAAAAGAGAUUAUAUUUCCACAAUGAUAGAUCUUUGGUUGUACAGGUUUCCCAAUGAGUGGAUCAUGAUGACCGUAUUGUAGGGACUUGCCAUAGUAUGGCUGCUUCCCGAUCUACUCGUGUUACAAGAUCAACAGUGG
rnacentral:sRNA from 1 species